rnacentral:misc_RNA from 1 species
CGCGCUUGUUGGCAUUUCCGUUGUUCUUCACGCUUCACGGACUUACGCACACACGCAUCACCACCCCUGUUGCUGGUGUUCGUGCGGGCCGCUCGGUUUACUCGCCCAUCCACCCCCUCCUGUCUCAAGCCUUCACCUCUCUUCUUUUUUUUUGUGGGUUCCACGCAGCCGGUCGAGGUGCGGAUGGACUCGUCGGCUGGCGGCUUCUUCUUCCCCUUCGGGUCCCCCAGCACGACCGAUAGGUGCCCUGGUGCCACCACCGUGGAUGCUGCCGAUUCCACCAGCUCCACACUGGGCACCGCCGUGCCUUCGCCGCCAAUCUGGCCGCCCGCAAAGAUAUCGACGGCGACCUUUCCGUGGGUUUCCCUGGACUCCGACACGCUGCACGAGUGGGCUGCCGGGUGCUGCUGCGUGGCUCCAAGCAAUAAUGUGAAGUGCAACCUCUCAACAAAGCCCUUGCAGCUGAAGCUUCGUGCGGUUUUGCCAGCGAGCGCAGAGGGCGCUCCAGGCGAAGCCUCCUCAUCCGCGGACGCAAAAAGAUCGGACAUCUUUACGCUAUGCUACCAGACCUCUCCAGAGGUGGACACGCUGACAUCCGUGGCCGCCACACAGACGCCAGAGAUGACGCCGUCGAGCUCGGCCAAGAGGGAGCGCCGCGACGUGGUACCAGGGCGAUACUACGGCGGGCUGAAGGUGUGGUCUUGCGCUGUGUUGCUCGCGGAAUACCUCGCCAACCACGCCGCACAGUACCGCAGCCUCUUUGAGGCUGCAGUGGUGGUCGCAGAGCUCGGGUGCGGUCAAGGACUUCCCGGGCUGGCAGCCAUGUGCCUCGGAGCGCGGCGCGUCGUGUUUCAAGACUACAACGAGGAAGUGCUCAAUGUGUGCACGAAGCCGAACGUGGCGGCCACAGUUUGCGCAAACGAAAGCCUCCAGCUGUCAGAAGGCGGCGUUGGUACAACUCCGCUACUGCACGUCAAAUUCGUUCACGGCGACUGGGUUGAUCUGUCUUGGGAGUCCCAAGGCGCUGCCUCCUCUUCUGCUGGCCUCGAAGCCUUCUGCGACGUCAUCCUUGGCUCUGACGUCACCUUUGACAAGGAUGCGUGCGACAGGCUUGCCUGCGUCUUGCAUCGCUGGCUGCGGCCCUACACAGGAACCGCUAUCAUUGUGUCAAAGGACUACUACUUUGGCACCAACGGCGGCUACCUGGAGUUCACAGAGUCCGCAGAGCCGUACGGGCUGCGGGUGGAGCUGCUGAAGCGCGUAGACACGGCGGACAAGAUGCCGCAUGUGGUGCUGCGUGUCACUCACGCGGCAUAGAAGAGCCCCUGUUUCUCUCUCCUGUGGAGAGGAGUUCCCGAGAUGGAUCAUGGUGGCUGCUCAAAGCAGUGUUCGCGAGGCCACCCGUCCAAGCGCAGCGCGCGCAGAGGGAGGAAAGUCACCCUGGGGCGUCUGUUAUGUUGCACCUACAAGCGAGUACGAUCUCGUAAGGGAUCAUCACUUGAUGAGCAAACCACGCCAAAACAAGCAGGAAGGGGCCGGAACGAGUUGAUCCUGUGCUGCUCACUUUCUCCGUGUAUGUGUACGUGUUUGUGUCCGCGCGUGCGUGUCUUUGCGUGUGCAGUCCGCCGCCGCAUGCUCUUCCGCUUCAAAGCAG